GACCGAACCGACUAAUGUUGAAAAAUUAGCGGAUGACCUGUGGCUGGGGGUGAAAGGCCAAUCAAACCGGGAGAUAGCUGGUUCUCCCCGAAAGCUAUUUAGGUAGCGCCUCGUGAAUUCAUCUCCGGGGGUAGAGCACUGUUUCGGCUAGGGGGCCAUCCCGGCUUACCAACCCGAUGCAAACUGCGAAUACCGGAGAAUGUUAUCACGGGAGACACACGGCGGGUGCUAACGUCCGUCGUGAAGAGGGAAACAACCCAGACCGCCAGCUAAGGUCCCAAAGUCAUGGUUAAGUGGGAAACGAUGUGGGAAGGCCCAGACAGCCAGGAUGUUGGCUUAGAAGCAGCCAUCAUUUAAAGAAAGCGUAAUAGCUCACUGGUCGAGUCGGCCUGCGCGGAAGAUGUAACGGGGCUAAACCAUGCACCGAAGCUGCGGCAGCGACGCUGAUGCGUUGUUGGGUAGGGGAGCGUUCUGUAAGCCUGCGAAGGUGUGUCGUGAGGCAUGCUGGAGGUAUCAGAAGUGCGAAUGCUGACAUAAGUAACGAUAAAGCGGGUGAAAAGCCCGCUCGCCGGAAGACCAAGGGUUCCUGUCCAACGUUAAUCGGGGCAGGGUGAGUCGACCCCUAAGGCGAGGCCGAAAGGCGUAGUCGAUGGGAAACGGGUUAAUAUUCCCGUACUUGGUGUUACUGCGAAGGGGGGACGGAGAAGGCUAUGUUGGCCGGGCGACGGUUGUCCCGGUUUAAGCGUGUAGGUGUGUGUUCCAGGUAAAUCCGGUUCACUUUAACACUGAGGCGUGAUGACGAGGCACUACGGUGCUGAAGCAACAAAUGCCCUGCUUCCAGGAAAAGCCUCUAAGCAUCAGGUAACAUCAAAUCGUACCCCAAACCGACACAGGUGGUCAGGUAGAGAAUACCAAGGCGCUUGAGAGAACUCGGGUGAAGGAACUAGGCAAAAUGGUGCCGUAACUUCGGGAGAAGGCACGCUGACACGUAGGUGAAGUGAUUUACUCAUGGAGCUGAAGUCAGUCGAAGAUACCAGCUGGCUGCAACUGUUUAUUAAAAACACAGCACUGUGCAAACACGAAAGUGGACGUAUACGGUGUGACGCCUGCCCGGUGCCGGAAGGUUAAUUGAUGGGGUCAGCGCAAGCGAAGCUCCUGAUCGAAGCCCCGGUAAACGGCGGCCGUAACUAUAACGGUCCUAAGGUAGCGAAAUUCCUUGUCGGGUAAGUUCCGACCUGCACGAAUGGCGUAAUGAUGGCCAGGCUGUCUCCACCCGAGACUCAGUGAAAUUGAACUCGCUGUGAAGAUGCAGUGUACCCGCGGCAAGACGGAAAGACCCCGUGAACCUUUACUAUAGCUUGACACUGAACAUUGAGCCUUGAUGUGUAGGAUAGGUGGGAGGCUUUGAAGUGUGGACGCCAGUCUGCAUGGAGCCGGCCUUGAAAUACCACCCUUUAAUGUUUGAUGUUCUAACGUGGACCCGUGAUCCGGGUUGCGGACAGUGUCUGGUGGGUAGUUUGACUGGGGCGGUCUCCUCCUAAAGAGUAACGGAGGAGCACGAAGGUUGGCUAAUCCUGGUCGGACAUCAGGAGGUUAGUGCAAUGGCAUAAGCCAGCUUGACUGCGAGCGUGACGGCGCGAGCAGGUGCGAAAGCAGGUCAUAGUGAUCCGGUGGUUCUGAAUGGAAGGGCCAUCGCUCAACGGAUAAAAGGUACUCCGGGGAUAACAGGCUGAUACCGCCCAAGAGUUCAUAUCGACGGCGGUGUUUGGCACCUCGAUGUCGGCUCAUCACAUCCUGGGGCUGAAGUAGGUCCCAAGGGUAUGGCUGUUCGCCAUUUAAAGUGGUACGCGAGCUGGGUUUAGAACGUCGUGAGACAGUUCGGUCCCUAUCUGCCGUGGGCGCUGGAGAACUGAGGGGGGCUGCUCCUAGUACGAGAGGACCGGAGUGGACGCAUCACUGGUGUUCGGGUUGUCAUGCCAAUGGCACUGCCCGGUAGCUAAAUGCGGAAGAGAUAAGUGCUGAAAGCAUCUAAGCACGAAACUUGCCCCGAGAUGAGUUCUCCCUGAGACUUAGAGUCUCCUGAAGGAACGUUGAAGACGACGACGUUGAUAGGCCGGGUGUGUAAGCGCAGCGAUGCGUUGAGCUAACCGGUACUAAUGAACCGUGAGGCUUAACCUU
rnacentral:rRNA from 1 species